rnacentral:rRNA from 1 species
UACGGAGGAUCCGAGCGUUAUCCGGAUUUAUUGGGUUUAAAGGGUGCGUAGGUGGAUUGGUAAGUCAGUGGUGAAAGUUUGCAGCUUAACUGUAAAAGUGCCUUCGAAACUGGUUUCCUUGAGUGUAGAUGAAGUAGGCGGAAUUUGUGGUGUAGCGGUGAAAUGCAUAGAGAUCGGGAGGAACACCAGUGGCGAAGGCGGGUAACUGGACUGCAACUGACGCUGAGGCGCGAAGGUGUGGGGAGCAAACAGGAUUAGAUACCCCGGUAGUCCCUGAGCGGG